UGAAAAUUACACGGUGAUGCAGUUUUUCCUCGAGACUACGAUAUUAAACCAAACAUUGGGUUCACGGAUCGAUUUCGGCCGUUGUCCUUGGUCAAUAACUAUGGGCUAUACGGUAUCUGUGAUCGUAUAUAUUACGGUUAACGAAGAUUCGGUAUUAUAAAGGACGUUCUCGACCGGAUAGAUUGGAAAGCUCUCCUCUCAUUCGUGCCGCAUACAGAGAUACUCAAAAACUUCGGAACCGUGCCGAAAAAUCGUCGCAGGAUGUAAAACAGAUCGGGCAAGUGAGAGGUCAUUAAACUGGCAACCUUCCAGGAAGCAAUCGAUUGUCGUUGUUAAACAACUACAGGGAAAUUUUCGGAUAUUAUGAUACCUUUUUUCUUACGAUUCUGAUAUGCAUAACUCAUUUAUAUAUGUAAACCAUUUCCUACUAGUCCGGUAUAUAAAUUAUAAACUUUAAUAGUUCAUAAAUGGAAUAUACAAUUUGAUAGUUGUUUAUACGAAUCGACAUUUUUGAAAAAAAGAUUUGUUAUUUGAAAAUAAAAAGUUAAGAAAUUGUUGUUUAUUAGUAGAGUAUAGAACAAUGGUAACACUUU